rnacentral:tRNA from 2 species
GGCGGCUUAGCUCAGUUGGUUAGAGCGUCGGAAUCAUAAUCCGCAGGUCCUCGGUUCAAAUCCGAGAGCCGCCACCA